rnacentral:rRNA from 1 species
UAGGGAAUCUUCGGCAAUGGACGAAAGUCUGACCGAGCAACGCCGCGCGAGUGAAGAAGGUUUUCGGAUCGUAAAACUCUGUUGUUAGAGAAGAACAAGGACGUUAGUAACUGAACGUCCCCUGACGGUAUCUAACCAGAAAGCCACGGCUAACUACAUGCCAGCAGCCGCGGUAAUACGUAGGUGGCAAGCGUUGUCCGGAUUUAUUGGGCGUAAAGCGAGCGCAGGCGGUUUCUUAAGUCUGAUGUGAAAGCCCCCGGCUCAACCGGGGAGGUUCAUUGGGAACUGGGGGACUUGAGUGCAGAAGAGGGGAGUGGAAUUCCAGGUGUAGCGGUGAAAUGCGUAGAUAUAGGGAGGAACGCCAGUGGCGAAGGCGGCUAUCUGGUCUGUAACUGACGCUGAGGCUCGAAGGCGUGGGGAGCAAACAGG